AACACACUGUGGUUCCUUGUCUGGAUUACUCAAGAACAUUUCUAAGUGACGAACAAUACCAACAUAGUUUACUGCAGCCAUUGAAUAAAAGUAAGUUCCGAUACAUUUAGGAAUUCUACUACAGUUUGUUUCUGUUUCUACAUUUUCUCACUGGAAUUUUAAAACUGAGUUUGAUUCUUGUGCUAAGGUUUCUAACCCUUAGUUUUAUGCAAAUAACGUCACAAUAGAUUAUGGUGAAUUUGAGUUGUCUAUUCUGGUAAAAGGGUGUCAUAUUUUAUCUCGAUCCUGAGAGCACCCAUUUUUUAUCACUGCUUGUGUAUGGUUUACACUUAAUAUACUAAGGUCAGAACUAUGAACUAUUUCAAUCCAAGUAUAAUUCAUUAAUAUUUAUUCUAUGAUACUUCCACAACACUGUUUGUGUUGAUAUCCCUGAGCCCUGAAAACCAAAGCUUAUUGGUUUAUAUGGGCAAAUGGUAACACUGAAAGCUAAGAUAGCUUGAUGGAGAAUUUGACACUUCCUUUGCUGAGAUCCUAUCUGGCAUUUCUUCUAGAUGGUCAGAUUUUGCAAGCAUUGGAUGGAGGCUCUGAUGCGUUUGUUAUGGGAUUGAGUUCUGCUCAAUCACAGCUCUCAGUUCUAGAUAGUUCUUCGCGGCUUGGACUAAAGCCAUGGCAAAAAACAAAGCCAUGUAUUGAGAUAUUGUGCAAUAACCAGGUUCUAUCACCAGAGAUGAGUUUGGCUACUGUGCGAACAUAUAUAUGGAAAAAGCCAGAAGAUUUGAUUCUUCAUUACAGAGUGGUCCAACCGAGAUGAUCACGGCUUCA